UGUUACAGUUCCUUUCCGUUGCCUGCGCUGGAUGUUUCUGGAACCAUAUUCAAAAUAAAUCAAAAUAUGAACUUGUAUAAGAUAAUGGUCUAAAUCAACUGUCACUUUAGUCAUAACUGAUUAUCGACUUCUACAAAUAUAGACGAGAUCUUCUGAAACAGUAGUUGAAUGUAAAAUGUUAACUAUUAGCGUGGCAAUGGAAAGUGUUCCUAAAAUACUCUACUAAUUCAUUUGCACACGAAUCAAUUUUUCAUAGACAUUUGACCAGUUCUUGCAACUUCCUGUUUUUGGAUCAUUUUUUGUCAUUUCCUGCCUCUUUGAUUAAUCAAUUGCACCAUUGGUGCAUUCAUAUUAUAGGAUGUUUAUCAAUUAUCGGAAAGUUAUAAUUAUCAAGUUUUCAAAGAACUUAUCAAAUGAAUCGGUUCGUGUGAGCGAAUGAAUUGAGAAUAUUUCAGGAACACUUCCGUUGCCACUAUGUAAUUGAUAAAUAAAUUGGUUGUAGGCGCUGCUAUACAUGCAAGUACUAAAGUAGUAAAAUAUGUUAAACAAAAAAUGUCUCAAAAAGUUAUCUAACUUUGUUUAAUUAGGGCUGAAACACAUAUUUCAAUUGCUCAAAAUACGUCACCCUUCAUUGAAUCCUGGGUAAGCGGGACCAUAUAAACAGCCCCUAAAGCCACUGGUACAAGGUAGCGUGCGUGCAUUUGUGGGCGGGGGCGCUGCCUAAGAAGCCCCUUCCUGUAUCACCCUUCCUUUGCGUAGUAUGCAAAUUAUGUGAAGUCACAGGAAACGCCUUAUAGAAGCCUAUAUAGGUUAUAAAUGUAGAGUAAUAUUGUCUGGAAUGAAGUAGUUUCUAUUUCUAACAAUUUUAACUGGAUGUGUUACUGUAUUAUUGAAAAUCUCAGUACGCUACAUAUACUGUGUGAGAGUUAGCCUGCAUAACUUUCAUGUCCCCGCUCAAACAAGAACAAGAAUUAAAUGAGAGUUGAUUGCAUGUGACCAUUUGCACCGGUCAGACGAGCAAAAAGUCUCGUCAAAAUUAAUGAAAAAAUAUUCGACAAAACACAAGGGGCAAUUUUAUAUUCCCAUGCAGGCUAGCCAGUCAUGUUCACAAGCAUACAGAGAGUGAUUUCAUUGUCUUAAAGAAGUGACUAAAUCCAGGUACUCAUGCCAGUAGGGAAAAGGGAGUAAUCCUCAGCCGAUCUUUUUAACAGGUUUCAGAUCGAAACGGCAGGGAGAAGAUAAAUCUCGUUGCACGUUGUUGAACUUUCUCGAUGUCGAGGAUAAGUGAGACCAGACUGUGGAGACCAAACGUGAGAGCUGUACGACAAGGCC